CCUACGGGAGGCAGCAGUGAGGAAUAUUGGUCAAUGGACGAGAGUCUGAACCAGCCAAGUAGCGUGAAGGAUGACUGCCCUAUGGGUUGUAAACAUCUUUUAUAUGGGAAUAAAAUGUUCCACGUGUGGGAUUUUGUAUGUACCAUAUGAAUAAGGAUCGGCUAACUCCGUGCCAGCAGCCGCGGUAAUACGGAGGAUCCGAGCGUUAUCCGGAUUUAUUGGGUUUAAAGGGAGCGUAGGUGGAUUGUUAAGUCAGUUGUGAAAGUUUGCGGCUCAACCGGAAAAUUGCAGUUGAAACUGGCAGUCUUGAGUACAGUAGAGGUGGGCGGAAUUCGUGGUGUAGCGGUGAAAUGCUUAGAGAUCACGAAGAACUCCGAUUGCGAAGGCAGUUCACUGGACUGCAACUGACACUGAGGCGCGAAAGUGUGGGUAUCAAACAGGAUUAGAUACCCCUGUAGUC
rnacentral:rRNA from 1 species